GGCGCUCCUUCCGCGGCGCCGCCUGCUUCCCUUCCCAGCCGCACCUGGCGCAGGUGCGCACGGAACGGAGAGCCCGGCCAAGACGGGGGUGGCGAUUCUCUCCACAUUUCCUGGAUGAGUCAAGUCCGGGGCGAAGGCAGGAGGAGACAAUUGUUGCUUAUUUGUUGUUUUCUUCUUUUUUUACCAUGCCUCCAAGUUGAUCGAAGUGGCACACAUAACUCUCCUCCCGCCACCAUUUUAUCCUCGCACAACAACCCUGCGAGGUAGACUGUGAUAGGCAGAAGGUCAGCCAGGGAGCUUAAUGGCCGAGUGGGGAUUUGAACCCUGGUCUAUCAAGUUUUCUUGGGGACGUGGGUGGCGCUGUGGGUUAGGACUUGCCAAUCAGAAGGUUGGCAGUUCGAAUCCCCGUGACGGGGUGAGCUCCCAUUGUUCGGUCCCAGCUCCUGCCAACCUAGCCGUUUGAUAGCACGUCAAAGUGCAAGUAGAUAAAUAGGUACCGCUCCAGCGGAAAGGUAAACAGCGUUUCCAUGCACUGCUCUGGUUCACCAGAAGUGGCUUAGUCAUGCUGGCCACAUGACCCGGAAGCUGUAUGCCGGCUCCCUCGGCCAAUAAAGUGAGAUGAGCACCGCAACCCCAGAGUCGGCCACGACUGGACCUAAUGGUCAGGGGUCCCUUUACCCUUUACCUUUACCUAUCAAGUUUUAAGGCAACGCUCUUGCUAGUAUAGCAUACUGGCUGACUUAGGUGGCAAGGCACACAGCUGAUCUGUGUGAACAAUGUUGGGCAAGAAGGGGGUCUGGUUGGAGCUGUGAGCUGACAAGGGGCCGCUCCAUAUGGUAUAUUUAAAGCUCAGCCAAUGCACAUUGAAUGCAUAUGACUUACACCAGACUCCUGGGAACUGUUCAGGAUGUUGGGAAUUGUAAUUCUGUGUGGAACUACACUUCCCAGGAUUCCUUGGGAGAAAGCCAUGUGUUUUAAAUGUGGUUUAAACAUAUAGUAUUAAUUAUUUUUAACCACUGAAAAACCUUGGAUUUACAGAUGCUGCAAUUCAGAAUAAUUUCUACAGGAGAGUGGGCUUGUUCAGUGAGUGAAUAACAGGACAAGAAGUUCUUUGAAAUGUGUUUGUUUGCAGUAGCAUUCCUGUGAGAUAAGUUUGAAGAGGACGCAGCUUUAAUUUUGGAAAUGCCAUAUAUAUAUAUAUAUAUGUAAAGAAGUGCUUUAUUCUGUCCAUUCUGAGCCUACCACAAAUCAGCUUCUUUGGCUCCCCAACCCUACCCCUGCCCAGCCAGUUCCAGGGCUGUGCGAGAGGGCAAACAGUUUAGGAACAAAGGGAGCUGUUUUGUACCAAGUCAGACCAUUAUUCCUUCUUGCUCAGUAAUUACCAGCACUGACUGGCAGCAGAGAAAGAAACCUGCUGACUGCCAUUUACUGUACUUCCUCCUGCCUUCAGUUUUCUGUUGCUGAUUACACCUUGCUCCAUCCCCUCUUCCUUUCUCCUGCUUUGAUGUUUCACAGGAAGCCAGACUUGCUGUUCCAGUCCCCCACCCCCCACCCCGCCUUCUCAAGAUACUCUUCUUGGGAAAGGCAUUAAGCAUAUAGUAGACCUACCUCCUGGCACUUGGUGUCUAAUAAAAAGUGGGUUGCAUCUCUGCAUCAUCCAAGUAGGUUGCAUCUCUGCAUCAUAUUUGGAUGCCAAAGAAUCCAAACCAUUGCCAAAAGCAAGGACCUAGUCCUCAUUGUUUGAGUGCUUAAUUGUGAGGACAUCUGAAUUGAUGUUCCAGUGAAAUUUAAAUGGAUUUCAUUGCUACUGGGACAUCUUCAUUAUUGGACAGCACUGAAGGGAGACAGCUGUGCUCUGGAGUGUGAGACAGCUUCCCAAGCAAAAGAACUUACAGCCUACUGAGUGUAACUUGCUAUUUCCCUUGUUCAACAGAUUUGCUCCCCAAAUUUCUCCUUAAAAUCCUCUCCGGUGAUUUCUGAAGUAAUGAUUACAGUGGAACCUCGGUAUUCAAAUGUAAUCCGUUCCGGAAGUCCGUUCAACUUCCGAAAUGUUCGAAAAUCAGAGGGUUGUCAGCAAAGUGAAUGGUGAAAAUAGAAAAAAAAAGUGCUGUGGAAGCCGUUCGACUUCCGAGGUGCAUUCGAAAACAGAAGCAUUCACUUCCGGGUUUUCGGUGUUCGGCUUCCGAAACAUUCGGCAGCCGAGACGUUCAAAAACCGACGUUCCACUGUAUGAAUAUGAGAGCCUUUUAGAUCAGGCCAAUGAUUCAUCUAGUCACAGAAUCACAGAGAUGGAAGGGACCAUGAGAGUAAUCUUUUGCCCAAUGCAGGACUCAAACCCAUGAGAUUCAGAGUCUCGUACUCUACCGACUGAGCUGUCCCAGGAAUCAGCAUCCUGUUCUCACAGUGGUCAGCCGGAUGCCUGUGGGAAUCCUGCAGGCAGGACCCAAGCACAAGAGCUAGUAAGGUAAAGGUAAAGGGACCCCUGACCAUGAGGUCCAGUCGUGGCCGACUCUGGGGUUGCGGCGCUCAUCUCGCUUUAUUGGCCGAGGGAGCUGGCGUACAGCUUCCAGGUCAUGUGGCCAGCAGGACUAAGCCGCUUCUGGUGAACCAGAGCAGCACACGGAACCACUGUUUACCUUCCCGCCGGAGCGGUACCUAUUUAUCUACUUGCACUUUGACGUGCUUUCGAACUGCUAGGUUGGCAGGAGCAGGGACCAAGCAACGGGAGCUCAGCCCGUCACAGGGAUUCGAACCGCUGACCUUCUGAUCAGCAAGCCCUAGGUUCUGUGGUUUAACCCACAGCGCCACCCUUGUCCCACACAAGAGCUAGUAGCUAUAAAUAAAUAUUAUUAUUAUUAUUAUUAGACAAAUUCAUAGAGGAGAGGGCUUAGCGACACCCCCCAGCCAUGAUGGCUCUGCUGCCUUGCCUCCAAACUUGGAGGUUGUAAUGUUUCUGAACACCAGUUGCUGGAAGCCCCAGAAGUGUGUUGAUCUUGUGCUCAGAUCCUGCUUGUGUGUGAACAGCAUGCUGGACGAGACGGGCCAUGGGCCUGAUCCAGCAGGCUCCCCUUACGCUUGUGUCAAGAUGCAGAGCAGGCUCCCACUUCACCUGUCGAUCAUGAUCACUGCAUAACCUCAACGGUUCUCCCGGCAUUCGGAACGCAUCCCAAAGCCACCACUUUCAGAGAACCAGCGAGGUGACAGAUUGCCUUGCAGAGACCGUCAGAUCGAUGGGCCUGCUUUUCUAUGCCUCGCACACAUCUCAGCCUGAAUUACGGCGCUGCUACGGCGCGGUGAUGGACGCUUAGGUGCCACAUAAUUCCUUCCUGGCAAUCGCUUGUCCAAUUUGUAACUUGCAGAGGCGCCAUAAAACACCCGUUUAAUUGACUGCAUCUGGACGCAUCAGCUGCCCAAAAGAGGCUGCCAGAUUUUGGGUCCCUCUGCAGCCUCGGAAGGCAGAGUGACAACAGUGAUUAUGGCGUCUCCGUUUUCCAAGCGAGUUGCAAUAUUUAAUCUUCGGGUGAGGCGCAAUUGCACGCUGCAGGGGAGACGGAGUUGAAGUCUACUCCCAGCUUCUGGGAUGGAGAGCCACCUGAAAAUAACACUGGGAGGAAAUCUCAUGCAACAGAAAAUGAAAAAAAAUUAAAAUGUUGCUCAGUAUACUGUGUAUAGAAGGGACGCGGGUGGCGCUGUGGGUUAAACCACAGAGCCUAGGACUUGCCGGUUAGAAGGUUGGCUGUUCGAAUCUCCGUGACGGGGUGAGCUCCCGUUGCUUUGUCCCUGCUCCUGCCAACCUAGCAGUUCGAAAUCACCUCAAAGUGCAAGUAGAUAAAUAGGUACCGCUCUGGCAGGAAGGUAAACGGCAUUUCCGUGUGCUGCUCUGGUUCGCCAGAAGCGGCUUAGUCAUGCUGGCCACAUGACCCGGAAGCUGUACGCUGGCUCACUUGGCCAAUAAAGCGAGAUGAGCACCGCAACCCCAGAGUCGGUCACAACUGGACCUAAUAGUCAGGGGUCCCUUUACCUUUACCUUUUAUACUGUGUAUCCCAAGGGAAUACAUUUUUUUGCAUACCUUCAACUGUACAUAGAUAUACAUGUCAUUUUCAAUGCUAUAUAAGUCACAUUUAUAUUCAUAUUGUACUACUUUGGCUAUGUGUUUAAUAAAAUAUUGAAUUCUUGUAUUGUGAAAAACAAAGAUUAUGGUGAAAAGUGAAAAACAUGAAUUGCAGAAAAACUAGAGCUUACAGAACAAAACCAACUUCAGAUAUGAAAUCAGCACGUCGAAAUUAGGUUAGAACAACUGCAGGUGUCAAUGCAACAAAAAUUUUGUUUCCCAGUGUAAUCAUUAAGGCUGGAAUCCAAACUCCUCCUACCUGGGAGUAAACUCCACUGAAAUCAGGAUGACUCACUUCUAAGUAGCCAUGAUCAGGAUUGUGCUGUCUGGCUGCUACUCUCUGCGUACAUAACUGGGAGCAAGAUGCAACUGGUAAGGUUGGUCUCUCCUGGAAGGAGCAGGUUCGUGUCUUGGGGUUACUCCUGGAUCCAGUGUUAUCACUGCAAUACCUGUUUCCGGCUAUUUUGGACAGAGAUGAUUUGGCUACUGUAUUCCAUGCUCCAUGGCAGCUUCCAGGCUGGAUUACUGCAAUGCGCUCUACGUGGGGCUGCCCUUGAAGACAGCUUGGAAACUUCCAACUGGUCCAAAAUGCAGCGGCCAGAUUGCUAGCUGGGAUUUCCUUCCGGAUUUCAUAUACCCCAUGUUUCAAAACAGUUGCAUAGGUUGCCAGUGCACUUCCAGGCCCAAUUCAAGAUGCUCACAUUAGUAUUUAAAGCCCUAAACAGAGGCAUUAUUCUGGGAUGUGUCUUGAAGAACUGGGGACUAGGCAGCACAAUCCUAUACAGUGGUACCUUGGUUCUCAAAUGCCUUGGUACUCAAACAACUUGGAACCCAAACACUGCAAACCCAGAAGUAAGUGUUCCGGUUUGCAAACCUUUUUCAGAAGCGGAACAUGCUCUGUUUUGAGUGCCACGCUGAGGUCUGUGUGUGGAACCUAGUUCAGCUACUGAUUGAUUGAUUGUGUGAUUGCAGUGCAUUGUUUAUUGCUUUCAUUUUAUGUAUCCAUGGUCUCGUUAGAUAGUAAAACUCAUGUUAAAUUGCUGUUUUAGGGGUUAUUUUUCAAAGUCUGGAAUGGAUCAAUGCAUCUUGCAUUACUUUCUAUGGGAAAGCGUGCCUUGGUUUUGGAACGCUUUGGUUUUGGAACGGAUUAAGAUUGAGAACCAAGGGACCACUGUAUACGUGUCUACUCUGAAGUAAAGCAAUACUGUGUUUGACGGGACAGUGUGUACUGGAUUGUGGCCUUAUUCCUUUUAGAGAGAGAAGACAACAUGCGAGGAAAUGUCAGAUAUUAGAUUGCAUUUCCCCCCCCAAUACCAUGAAAUUAACAGGAAAGAUUGUCUGCCUGCAUGAACUCAAAACAAUCACUUACUGGAGGUGUCGGGAGAUUAAGCAUUGCAUCAAUACCAUGCAUCACCUCUAUGGAUUUUAAUGCUUGUCGUUAAGCUGGCCGUUUGACAAAUGCAACAGAGGUAAUAAUGCUAUUAUUGACUUGGUGUAAUAAAAAUUUAUAUUACAAAAAUAAAAAUAAAAUUUAGGAGGGCGGGGAGUUUUUAUGGGCUGCUUUAUGAGCGUUUUCAGCGACUCCAGAGAAAGCAGCAGAUAGCGAUCACUGCAGGAGUCAAUACAAGAGGGCAGCAGAUCCGCAGCAAAUCCAUCAACCCAGUGGAGAAAUAGGAGCUCUGAACAUUCAGGAAAGCUCGGUUAUUUGGAAAAUGGUACUAAGCCCCCACACCAAGAUAACAGGGAUAUCAAUUUGAUAAGUUUCUUUGCACUAUAAUAAUAAGCAUCAAACACAGUAACUGUUGGCCAAGUAUCUUGUAAGAAAAUGGUUUCUUCAUCUUAACAAUAAUAGAACACAGUACAGUGGUCCCUUGGUUCUCAGACGCCUUGGUACUCAAAACAAUUUGGAACCCAAACACUGUAAACCCGGAAGUAAGUGUUCCGGUUUGCAAACUUUCUUUGGAAGCCGAACGUGCUGUGUUUUGAGUGUUACGCUUCUGAUUUGAGUGUUCCACUGAGGUCUGUCUGCUUUUGCUAUUUAUUUUGCAUUUUUUCGGCUUUUUUGUUUUGUUUUUGUGACUGUCUGGAACCCAGUUCAGCUACUGAUUGAUUGUGUGACUGCAGUACAUUGUUUAUUGCUUUCGUUUUAUGGAUCCAUGGUCUUGUUAGAUAGUAAAAUUCAUGUUAAACCGCUGUUUUAGGGGUUGUUUUUAAAAGCCUGGAACGGAUUAAUCCAGUCUGCAUUACUUUCUAUGGGAAAGCGCGCCUUGGUUUUGGAAUGCUUUGGUUUUGGAACCGACUUCUGGAACGGAUUAAGUUUGAGAACCAAGGUACCACUGUAUUAUUCCCUCUAUUUCCAAUGUCUUGAGUGUGAGCGCCAUUCCUUAUGCCCCCAAAUCAUCACCACUCAUGCCAAAAAAAGAAAAGAAAAAAAAGGAGGAAAUCCAGUUUGCAGGAGCACCAAAGAAAAUGCUUAAGGGAAAGAACUCCAAAACAAUCCAAGGCCACAGAAUGUUGACUGACAGAGGUUGCACUUUGUUAAAAGAGUUACUAGAAGACCCCUAUUCCCCCCACUGACCAUUCCCAGAGUUCCCUGGGAAGAGUGAUUCAUUGUUAAACUACAUUGGCAAUUGUAGCUCUGGGAGGGGAAUAACGGAAUCUCUUAGCACCUCUCAGCACCCUGAACAAACUACAACUCCCAGCAUUCUUUGAGGGAAGCAAUGACUGUUCAAAGUGAUAUCAUAGAGCUUCAAAAAAUGUCUGGAUGCGGUCCAAGUUCUUCAGCACCCUUUCACAUUACAAACUAUUUCCUGCCCAAUAUAUAACUGGAUUUUGAUACCAACUUAAAAAAAAACUUUUAAAAAACGUGCUUGUCUUUUGCUUUGAGUUGCUGUGGCAAAAAUGCAACUCAUGUAUUUGAUAAGGAAUAAAAUUAAAAAUUAGAUGGGUACAAUCCAGCUGUUUGUAAGUACUUUCAAAAACAUCCAUUUUGACUGGAUGGGUUGGAAUUGCAAUCUUAGGCACACUGACUCAUAAGCAAAUCCUUCUAAACUCAGUGGAAAUCUACUCUCAGGUAAGUGUAUUUAGGAUUGUGGUCUUAAGUGCCCAUCUGGCUCUCAGCUAAAAAAUUAUAAAAAUUUGUAUUAAAAAAUUAUUAGAAGAUAAAGUCCCGACCAGAGAAGAAUGGCAGAUUAAGUUGAUGGAUUAUGCUGAAAUGGCAAAAAUGAGUGGAAGAAUCAGAAAUCAGGAAGACCAAAAUUUCAAUAAAGAAUGGGAAUUUUUAAAAAAAUUAUCUUAAAAACCACUGUAAACAGUUAAAACUGUUAGUAGGAUUGGAAUAACACUUGUAGUUUAACGGUGAAUUUUGGAUAUAAUGGAGAUGUAAAAGAUCUGUAUUAUUAUAAAAGAUGCAAGAGGAAAUGAUUAAUAAUAGGACCCACAAAAAGAAAGUCCAGGAUAUUCUUUGGAAUCUUGUUUUUGUUGUAUGUUGGAUAUACGAGUGUAAAACUGUAAUUUGAAAAACUAUAUACAUUUACAUAUACAUAUAUAGCCCCUUGAAAACUGAGAUGAAAGACUUAUUGAGAGGACGAUCUAUUUUGGCAGCUAAGGGGGAAGAGAGUUUGUGGGAUGGGGGUUAUUGGUCUGUUUUAUUAUUUAUUUUGUGUUUCCCCAUAUGGUAUUUUUUUAUGUUGUGAACCGCCCUGCGAUCUUCGAGUGGAAGGUGAUAUACACGUUUCACAAAUAACAAAAGCCGUUUCGACUUCUUUCUCACAAAUCUCUCAUACAGGACCAGCAAGAACAGACGAGCUUCG
rnacentral:lncRNA from 1 species